UACGUAGGGUGCAAGCGUUAAUCGGAAUACUGGGCGUAAAGCGUGCGCAGGCGGUUUUGUAAGUUUGUCGUGAAAGCCCCGGGCUCAACCUGGGAAUUGCGAUGAAGACUGCAAGGCUUGAAUCUGGCAGAGGGGGGUGAAUUCCACGUGAGCAGGUGAAUGCGUAGAGAUGAUGGCGGAAUCACCGGAUGGGCUGAAGGA
rnacentral:rRNA from 1 species